rnacentral:misc_RNA from 1 species
AAAAAAAAUGCGGAUGCGGCCGGUGCCGGGCCUGGUCGAUGCUGAAUCCGGACCCGCGUUCCGGCCUUCCGCGGCUCUCCCUAGCCGUAAGGCCGCGUCGGCUUCGUCUCGUGCGCGAUCGGCGCGGUUCUAUACGACCGCCGUUCAACGGUCAGCUCAGAACUGGCACGGACAAGGGGAAUCCGACUGUCUAAUUAAAACAAAGCAUUGCGAUGGCCCUCGCGGGUGUUGACGCAAUGUGAUUUCUGCCCAGUGCUCUGAAUGUCAACGUGAAGAAAUCCAAGCAAGCGCGGGUAAACGGCGGGAGUAACUAUGACUCUCUUGACAUGUCCAAAUGCCUCGUCAUCUAAUUAGUGACGCGCAUGAAUGGAUUAACGAGAUUCCCGCUGUCCCUAUCUACUACUUCGGUGACAGCCGUCAACCGUGCAACAUCGUUUUUGUAGUGCUCCGUAUUUAAAAAUCCGUUUUGUGGUUUU